rnacentral:rRNA from 1 species
GACGAACGCUGGCGGCGUGCUUAACACAUGCAAGUCGAACGGAAAGGCCCUGCUUUUGUGGGGUGCUCGAGUGGCGAACGGGUGAGUAACACGUGAGUAACCUGCCCUUGACUUUGGGAUAACUUCAGGAAACUGGGGCUAAUACCGGAUAGGAGCUCCUGCUGCAUGGUGGGGGUUGGAAAGUUUCGGCGGUUGGGGAUGGACUCGCGGCUUAUCAGCUUGUUGGUGGGGUAGUGGCUUACCAAGGCUUUGACGGGUAGCCGGCCUGAGAGGGUGACCGGACACAAUGGGACUGAGAGACGGACCAGACUCGAACGGGAGGCAGCAGUGGGGAAUAUGGCAAAAUGGGCGGAAGCCUGAUGAAGAAACGCCGCGUGCGGGAUGACGGCCUUCGGGUUGUAAACAGAUGUCGACUGAGACGAAGCGUGAGUGACGGUAAUGGGUAAAGAAGCACCGGCUAACUACGUG